GGGUGCGAUCAUUCCAUCAUUAAUGCACCGGAUCCCAUCAGAACUCCGUAGUUAAGCAUGCUUGGGAUAUAGUAAUACUGGGAUGGGUGACCUCCCAGUAGUUCCUAGUGUUGCACUCU
rnacentral:rRNA from 1 species